GCCGGGCGUGAGGGCUCACACCUGUAAUCCCAGCAUUUUGGGAGGCCGAGGCGGGAGGAUCACCUGAGGUCAGGAGUUCGAGACCAGCCUGGCCAACAUGGUGAAACCCCGUCUCUG
ensembl:misc_RNA Metazoa_SRP Metazoan signal recognition particle RNA